ensembl:miRNA Mir3573 microRNA 3573
AUGGUUUGAGGGGCAGUGAUAGAAAGGAGAUCCUUUUCUUUCUUCUCCUUCCUAACUCUGCCCCCUCCCAUC